AACAGGCACUUGUGCAGGUUCCCCAUAAAAAUGACUGAUUUGGGUCUUACCAAGAGCUCUGGCACUGCUCCAGCACGAGAAAGAAUUACAUUUCUAGGGAGGUUCAUCAAGAUGGGAAUAGUGGAACAAACAUUUGAAAUGUCCAGUGUAAUCCUCUGUCUUCCCCCAAACAAGCCUCCCUGGGCAGGAUUUGCAGCCCUUCUGGAAUGAAAGCUUCCUGAAAGGAACCUGUUUCCCUGGGGGACUGCCCAGCUCUCAGCCCUGCUUCUGGGGGAAGGAAGAUGAAGGAGGGCAGCAGGACAAUGAUCUGCACCACAUGCCCUGUGCUGAGACACAUAAUGGGGCUGGGGGAGCUUUUCUGUGGAAACACUCUGGUCCUGGAUUGAAACCCUGCCCAGCUCCCUUGGAAUGAGAUACAAAGGAUAAAGAAAUCUGGAUCACAGUGAUAAGGUCCUGAAGGGGGGACCAGGCCCAGCAGCCUGAAAAGCAGUGAUGUUAUGAUUGGGGUGAAAGUUCUGGCAGAGGAACAGGAACAGCCAAGCCCUUGCUUUGGAAAACAUGCAACAAUCUUUGAAGGGCACCAUCCAGCACCAAUUCCAGAGGAGCAUCCACAGCACCUACACAGGCAAAGGGAUGGGACUGUUAAGCCAGACUUUAUUAUUUCUGCAGAGAUUUGCUGUCCUUAAUUUGCAUAGAACUGCCUUUGAUUAAAAAUUGCCUGUCACAGAAGCACCUCGGUGAUUUUUUUUUUGGAGCAGUCAUCUCUUCUCCUAAUGAGGAUAUAUUUUAUGCAAGGGUGUUGUUUGGCCUCCUGACCUGCUGGAGUGACUGAGCCCCUCGGGCAGUGGGGAAUCCCACCGGCUGCCUCGAGCCACAUCCACAGCAACCAUCGGCACCUCCACACGGCUGAGGUUGCAUUGCCACUGCUCUGUGCCAAGGUUGUCCCAGAAUCGUUGAAUCCUGAAGGCUGGAAAAGUGUUCCUGUGGCUGAACACCACCAUGUCAACUAAACCACGUCACCAAGUGCCACCUCUGCUUGUCUUCUGAUCACUCCAGGGGUGGGGACUCCACCACUCACCUGGGCAGCCUGUUCCAAUGCUUCACCACUCCUUCAGUGAAGAAACUUUUCCUGAUAUCCCACCUGACCUCUCCUGGCACAGCUUGAGGCCGUUUCCCCUUGUCAAUUGUCUAAUGAACCACGUGGUCAGCAGCAACUGUGCCUCCUGCCCAUCCACCCCCUGUUCUUAGAGCAGGUUGAUCUGGAUGCUGUGACUUACCUGGUCCUGCCCUGCUCCUCACUGGGAUCCUCAGCGCUGCUCUCUGGGAUGGAAAUGAUGAUAACAGCGAGUGGAAAAUCCCAGCUCCAGCCCCUUCCUGCAGAGCAGAGCUCUGAUUGACUUGGGAACAGCCCCAGGGACUUUAUCUUGGGAUUUUAUCUCUGAGGAAGGACUUGCUCCUGCUCCAAACACUCCAAGGAUGCUGCUGCUUCUGCUCAGGGAUGGUUUAACUGGGAAGAAUUGAUCCUAAACAGGCACUCAUCACUUCCAGCUAAUUCCACCCUGUUUGCAGAUGGAACAGAACAGCUCUGCAGCUCAGAGGCUCUGACAGACUGAGACCACAAGUGGAACAGGCUUCUCCUGGAAAUCCUGAGGAUUGCUUUUGGCUUAGCACUGUCAGAGCACUUGGAAUCAUUCCUGGCUGCGAAGAAUUCUAAUAAUGUGAGGAUUAGAAAUAAGCCCCAUUUAUAUGGCAAAUUUUUCCAAUCAAAUCAUUAAUGCAGGUGGAAGGGAGACUCACUCCAAGAGUGUGUGUGGGACAGCAAAGGGCUGCCAAAAAUGCGUAUUCCUGACCUUAAAUCCAUGAGGAUCCUCUGUGGACACAACCCCAUCCCAGGAAUGGUGAGAGCUCAACAAAGGACCAGUAGGGUAUUUCUUCGAGAUAAGUGAUAAAAAUGGCAAGAACUGGGAACUAGCCGGUGAGUGAGCUGCCUGGAGAUGUGCAGCACUCCCAGGAGCUCUGGGAGAAGGUGCUUCACCCUCGGAGCUCUGGAAGGCUUUCCUGUGCCAGGGCUGCUGCUGCAUCUUUAGCAAAUCAAACUACUUGCACGUCUUUCUGAGGCAAAUGCAAGAGUGUGGUGGAAGAAACAGCAGGUGCAAGGAGAGUGUCAUGCCAGGGAUCAGGGAUCUCGGCUGAGCUUGGAGUGUCACUGAGAUUUGAGGACAAGCAGGGCUUGCUCUCUGCACAAAGUGGGGUAAUGACGUAGUUAUACCCCAUUUGGGCUGAAUUCACAGUGCUGGGAAAGCCAAUGGAGCAAAAAUGUACAACUGCCAGCCAAGGAGCCAAGUUCUGGCUUAUUGCUGAUGGUCAGUGCAGUUACACCAUCACCUACCAGCAGCUGAGACCCACCAAGGGCAGGUGCUCCAGGCAGCCCUCAGACUAUCAACCACUGGAACCACAGCUCUCAAAAGGCACCUGAAGCAAGAGCUGGUUGAGCUCGGGGCUGUAAAUGGCCAAAUCUCCUGGGGGUUGUAGUCAUGGGUGGGAAAAGCCUGGAAAAAAACAAAUCUACCAGGAGAAUGUGUGAAUUUGUCAUCCAGAAGGGAGUCACUGAGACAACUGUGUAAUAUCUCUCACUGUAUUUCUCACACUAAUGCCAGAUGGCCUGGAAUGGGAUCCCCCACGUUCUCCUGCGAGUCUGAGGAGACGAGAAAAUAAACAUGGAAAAUGUCUGUGGUGAUGGAAUCGGAUUGGCUCUGCCUUGUAAGCUUGGGGACAGUGGCCACACAUCAGGUGCCUUCAGCAGCUACCAAAGGACUGACAGACCCCAGCAGGUGUAAAGAGGUCCUUUCCAGCCCAAACCACUCUGGGAUUCUACAAAAAACAAGAUUUGGCAGCAAUUCCAGUUGGUUGUGUUUGUGUUGCCUGGGCACAGCCAGACAAGGCGUAUUUUACCCCAGCUGGGCUGUUGGAGUGGAAAUCCAUCCCUCUGCUGCUCCAUCACCUGCAGGACCAUCCUGGGAGCGAUCAGGACUCAGUUACCUCCCAGCUACAGGACAAGACUGUGAGGAAUUCCAGCUCAGCCUUUCAUCACUGAACAGUGCAGAAGGAACGUCUCUUCUGAACUGCAGCGGGAGCGAGGAGGAAGGGGGGGAAAUUAAUGAUAUCACCAAAUUGAAACUCUUUCAAGUUCCCUUUAAUUGCAGAGGGCACAGGGAGCUCAUUCAGCUUCGAUUCUCUGAUCUCUUGCUCUCCCCAAGGGGUGAGUUUUCCUCUCCUCCCACAUCUCACGCGAUUUUCCCGGGGUGUUGAGCCUGGUGGAGGGAAAUGAGGUGGAUUCCUGGCUCCUGCUCCUGCAGAGCCAUUCCUGAUGGGAUUUGGGCUGUGGAACAGCAGCCAGAGCUGUCCAGGGAGGGCAGGGCCAGGUCAGUAGAGCUCUUCACCCUCCGUGGUCCCACCUUCAUCACCUGAGCUUUGCCUCUGAUCUUUCCUUGAUUACGUAGGAGGAGGGUCAGAAAUCCUCCAAACAAAGCUCUGACCACCAGGUCUGCAGUGGUGGGACCUUCCCUGCCUGAGCUGUGACCAGACCCCUGCUGGCAGCUGGGGUGCCCUGGUGGAUGGGAUGCCCAUGGGAUGCCUCCAGCUCAUUUAGGCCCCUGGCACAGGGAAGGUGCUGAUGUCUCUCCAAGAAGGUUCCUGCUCCUCACUCCAGCUUCCAGCUCCAGGAAUGCUCAGCACCACACCACGCUGUGCCUGGUUUUGGAGCUCCUGGGAGCUUCAGUGCCUGCCUCAACAACGUUAAGGAAGGCUGAAAGAUGAGAUUUUAAAGCAUUUAUUGAUUUUGCUUUAAUAUUCUGGUAUUUCUUUCCCAUCAGCAGACUAUUUACUUUAUGUAGUGCGCUGUGGGGUAAGUAUAUUCCCAGAAAUGAUGCACAGAAUGGGAUCUCCUGUAUGAGCAUAUGGAUAUCAAAUGAAAAAUCAGCUGUAAAUCACUUCAAAUCAGGAAUAGAAAUGGCACCCAGGAGCUGCACUCUGCAGGUAUCUGUGCUCUGGAGCCAGGGUGGGAAGGGUGGCCCUUCCUGAGCAGGGAGGGCUGGGAUUCCUUGGCAUCCAUGGAUGUGCAGCCUUUGGGACCCCAGAGCUGUGCAGGGCUGGGUUUCUAGGGCAAUGGGCUGGGAAAGCCAGGGAUGGGAUGGGGGCCCUGCCCUGUUCCCCCCGAUUUUACCUGGGUUUUUAUUACCAGAUAGACCCUUCCUUCCUGUUUUCCCUCGUUUUUGUGUUGCUGCUGUUGAAGUGGUUUCUGUGCUCCCUGAGCCCUCCCCUGGGAGCAGGGCAAAGAUGAGCCUGCCAGCACUGUCCCAGCUGGCAGCAAGGGUUGAUUGAUUCCCUGGCCCACCCUGCCCUCACCCUUCUGCUUUUCCAUCCCCUCCUUGUCCCAUCCAGCCAUCCCAGUGACCCGUGGGGACCCAACCCCUCCUUCCUCCCAGAAUGGGUUGGGUUGGGAGGGACCUUAAAGCUCAUCUCCUUCCACCCCCUGCCGUGGGCAGGGACACCUUCCUUCCACCAGCCCAGGCCCAGCCUGGCCUUGGACACUUCCAGGGCUGGUGACUCCACCAUUUAAAUCCAAUCCCAGGGAUUGCUUUGUCUCCUCUUGCUUAAAAUGUUAAAAAGAAAAAAAAAAAAAAAGCUUUAGCCCAUCAGCAAAGCCAGUGCCUCAAAUUAAAUUCUGUGAUAAAAGCAAAUGAAGUGUAAUUGAGAAGAGCCAAGAGGAAUUUUCCCUGGGAUAAGGAAUUCCCUGGGAUGGUUUUGCCACGUGAGCUGUCCCUCUGUGUCCCCCCAAUGUCCCCACUGGCACUGGGGCACUUGGCUGCUGCUCCUGUGGAUCUUUCACAGGUGUCUUUCCCCUUCCACGGGAGACCUUCGCUCAUGGUAAUGAAAGAAUUAGGCUGAGCCAUCAGGAAUUAAGGAGAACUGUCCUGACACGUAUUCCCAGAGAUGCUGCUGAUGGAAAAUGUCUCCUGUGGAGCUGCUCCACUGCAGACAUGAAUAUUGCAGAGCACACAGCCCAUCUCUGGUAGCUCCUUGACCAUGAAAUUGCCCAUGAAAUAGGAAUCUAUUGUUUAUCAUGCUAAUUGGGAACCCAAAAGUUUAUUUAAAGGUCGCUGGAAAGCCGUGAGAAAUAUCCUGCUAUGGGAAGGAAAGAAAAAUCAAGAAGCCAUAGGGGGGUUUGGUUAUUUAGUAGAAUGUUAUUCCUAAUAUUUAAGAUGCUUUCUGAGCUGUGCAUUAAAUUAAUAAGGGAGAUGAAGGAGUGUUUUAAUGUAACUUAGUGUGAAAGGAGGCUUCAGAAUUUAUUUUAUUCAUAGAUUUUUGCAUCAAAGGUCCUAUAAUGAUUAAUUUUCAAACUUACAGGUUUUAAUAGCAAAAUAAGAAAUAAUAGCACCAAAGUUCCUUUGAAAUACUUAAUAAAAUGCUGUUCUUUAGAGCACUAAAUGGCUUCCUAAUGCCACCAGUACUUCAAAGAGCAGCAUUCUUUGCCAUAUUUCUAUUUGGUUUUCUACCCUGCACUCUCUGUGUGUAAGAUAGAAAUAUUUUCAGAUGGGCAAGAUUAAGGUAUUGUUUUAUUCCAACAAACCCCUGAAAAUCUGCACUGAGGGCUUGGUAGGGCACAAGUGUAAAUGCAAGUUAAUCUGAAGGUACAGAAGGUUCCUUGGCCUUCCAAAUUCCGGGACAAACUGCAACUAUCCCAGCAGGCAGGAGAGCUCCUUGUUCUCAGGGUGCCUGAGGUGGGGCUGAUGCACAGAGGGACUGACAGAGCCCCAGAUCCAAAUGUCUUUUUAGGAAAAGGUGUUUCUUUCCCUCAUGGACAAGAAGCCUCUUCGUGUCAAAGCAGGGGCUCCAUCCCCUGAGUGCCCCCCCUCAGAGGGCACUGGAGACAGGGAAGCUCCUCCUGGGAUGCUCUAAAACAAAACCCCAGGAUUGGGCCCUUCCAGCACCCAGGAAGGCAGAGGGCAGCUGGGAUUGCAGGCUGGAAUCAUCCAGAAGGGCCUCUGAUUGUAAAUUGGAGCAUGCAGAGGAUUAAUUGCCAGCAGGUGUCAGCGACAAGAAGUUCCUCUCUGAUCUGGGCAGGGGGUGACUCUGAGUGUUCCCCUGCAUUGUUCUGUUCUUGCCAUUGUUCAGGAGAGCAGAAAACAAAACUCUACGUGAGGAAAUGGGAUAAACAACUUUGCUGCUGUCAGAAAGGAAAAAAAAGGCAGUGCAAGACUGUUAAUUAGGAAAUUACUGCAUGAAAAUAAUAAUUAGGGAGGCCAGACACUGGUGAGAAGCCAACCUGUAGUUUCCCAACCUGCCCUGAGCGAAGGGUUAGACACAACCUGCCCCAACAAUUUACUAGGGUUCCUUCCUCCCUGUGUUGUGGGAAAAUGAGUGCAUUUAGCAAUUAGCAGAGCUGGUGAUUGACUCCUGGUCAUCCCCAGGAUGACCCUCUGGCUGCCCUUGUCUCUCCAUGCCCGGGCACAGGGCUCAGCCUGGGAGGUCCAUGUGGAUUAGACAGGGCAGGAGGUCCUGCCAUCCCCACUGCUCCUCAGGAGGAGGGGAGGAGAUGCAGGGCCCUUUAAUUAGGGGGCUGCUCCCUGUGGAGGGCAAAUGGAGCAGGAGGAGAAGGGUUCUCUCCAGGAGGUGAUUCCCUGCCCCCCCAGCUCCAGGCUGCCUGCUCUGUUAUCUGCAGGCUCUGGGGAGAGCGAGUCCUGGGGGGAGCUGAUGCAAGCAGGGCAUCAACCUGGUCACACAGUGAGUGGCCUUGCUGUCCUUGGGGUGCUCUGGGAGAAUCCAUGAAGGAAUUGCUGCUGAGAACCAGCACUCUGCAAAUUCCUGCCUCGAUCUGCUCUCCAUCCACACAAACCAGACCCUGCUGAGGUCACUCCUGAGCGAGCCCUGGGUGUGGAGCUGUGCCAGGGCAGGCUCAGGGUGGAUCUCAGGAGGUUCUUCCCCCAGAGGGUGGCUGGCACUGAACAGGCUCCCCAGGGCAGUGGGCACAGCCCCAAGGCUGCCAGAGCUCC